rnacentral:rRNA from 1 species
GAUCCUGGCUCGGGAUGAACGCUAGCUACAGGCUUAACACAUGCAAGUCGAGGGGGCAGCGGGGAUUGAAGCUUGCUUCAAUUGCCGGCGACCGGCGCACGGGUGAGUAACGUGUAUCCAACCUUCCGUACACUCAGGGAUAGCCUUUCGAAAGAAAGNUUAAUAACCUGAUGGUAUCUUAAGCACACAUGUAAUUAAGAUUAAAGUAUUUAUCGGUGUACGAUGGGGAUGCGUUCCGAUUAGGUAGUAGG